rnacentral:rRNA from 1 species
AAGCUCGUAGUUGAAUUUCGGGGUUAGUAAGUUGGUCAUGCCUCUGGUAUGCACUGGCUUUACUGAUUCCUCCUUCUUGAUGAACUGUAAUGUCAUUAAUUUGGUGUUGCAGGGAAUCAGGACUGUUACUUUGAAAAAAUUAGAGUGUUUAAAGCAGGCAUACGCUUGAAUACAUUAGCAUGGAAUAAUGAAAUAGGACGUUUGAUCCUAUUUUGUUGGUUUCUAGGUUUGACGUAAUGAUUAAUAGGGAUAGUUGGGGCAUUAGUAUUCAAUUGUCAGAGGUGAAAUUCUUGGAUUUAUUGAAGACUAACUACUGCGAAAGCAUUUGCCAAGGAUGUUUUCAUUAAUCAAGAACGAAAGUUAGGGGAUCGAAGACGAUCAGAUACCGUCGUAGUCUUAACCAUAAACUAUGCCGACUAGGGAUCGGAUGAUGUUAUUUUUAAUGACUCAUUCGGCGCCUUACGGGAAACCAAAGUGUUUGGGUUCCGGGGGGAGUAUGGUCGCAAGGCUGAAACUUAAAGGAAUUGACGGAAGGGCACCACCAGGGGUGGAGCCUGCGGCUUAAUUUGACUCAACACGGGGAAA